rnacentral:rRNA from 1 species
AGUGAACGCUGGCGGUAGGCCUAACACAUGCAAGUCGAACGGCAGCACAGUAAGAGCUUGCUCUUACGGGUGGCGAGUGGCGGACGGGUGAGGAAUACAUCGGAAUCUACUUUUUCGUGGGGGAUAACGUAGGGAAACUUACGCUAAUACCGCAUACGACCUACGGGUGAAAGCAGGGGAUCUUCGGACCUUGCGCGAUUGAAUGAGCCGAUGUCGGAUUAGCUAGUUGGCGGGGUAAAGGCCCACCAAGGCGACGAUCCGUAGCUGGUCUGAGAGGAUGAUCAGCCACACUGGAACUGAGACACGGUCCAGACUCCUACGGGAGGCAGCAGUGGGGAAUAUUGGACAAUGGGCGCAAGCCUGAUCCAGCCAUACCGCGUGGGUGAAGAAGGCGUUCGGGUUGUAAAGCCAUUUUGUUGGGAAAGAAAAGCAGCAGGUUAAUACCCCGCUGUUCUGACGGUACCCAAAGAAUAAGCACCGGCUAACUUCGUG